rnacentral:rRNA from 1 species
CUGGCUCAGGAUGAACGCUAGCGGCAGGCUAACACAUGCAAGUCGAGGGGCAACGCGAGUAGCAAUACUUGGCGGCGACCGGCGCAAGGGUGCGUAACGCGUGAGCAACAUGCCCGUAUCAGGGGGAUAAUCCAGGGAAACUUGGUCUAAUACCCCAUAGUAAUUUUGUAAGGCAUCUUAUAAGAUUUAAAGCUUUGGUGGAUACGGAUUGGCUCGCGUGACAUUAGCUGGAUGGUAAGGUAACGGCUUACCAUGGCUAUGAUGUCUAGGGGUUCUGAGAGGAAGGUCCCCCACACUGGAACUGAGACACGGUCCAGACUCCUACGGGAGGCAGCAGUGAGGAAUAUUGGACAAUGGAUGGAAAUCUGAUCCAGCCAUGCCGCGUGAAAAGGAAGAAGGUCCUAUGGAUUGUAAACUUCUUUUGUAUGGGAGCAAUAAGGCCUACGUGUAGGUUGAUGAGAGUACCAUACGAAUAAGCACCGGCUAACUCCGUGCCAGCAGCAGC